GCAUCACGUCCUCGACUGUCCAAGAGGAGGGGUCCCGGCCGCUCAGUCUAGAGGCAUCCCGGCUUUCCAGGGUCGAUCUCGCUUUGGAAAUCAUCAGAAAGAAGUUUGCCUUGAGCCCGUGAUUCAGCCUGGACCUGAGACGGGACACUGAGAUCCGUUCAUGUUUGACUCCUUCUCAACAUUCGAGUCUCCUCAGAUAUGGACUCCUCCAAGAGGCCUUCCUGGAUCUCCUAGUGAAAAUACUGCCCCCUAUAGCCUCUCUCAAUCCAAUUACCCUAGUUUUCUUUUCUUACUCCAUACCAUACGCCAUCACCUAAAAUAACUUCAUGCAUUCAUUUACUUUCUGUGUAUGCUGUCCCCCCCAGGACGUGGCUCUCUCUUGCUCCUCGCUACGUCUCCGACAUGCGGAAGAGGCGGCGCGCACCAGCAGAUGUUCGGUCGUGUGUGAAGUGGCUGGUCGGACCUGACAGCCCCUCAUGCAUUCUCCCGGCUCCC